AGGAAGGAUGGGGAACUGGAGCCAGCAGGUGGCUGGGUGAACCUGGGGCCUGAAUUCAGUGCAGCUUUCCAGGUGCCUGGUGCCAAGGAUGCCACCUGCAGUCACUGGAGCCACUGGACACGAGGGUAACUUAGGACCUGUGUUCACAGGAGCCCGUGUGCUUGGAGCUUGGGUGCAACAGGGACCUGUAUUCCCAGGAACCUCUAGGGGGCGCAGCCAUGGGCGGGGCCUGGGUCGCUGGAAAAGACCGACUUCCCGAUGAGUGGGUUUCCAGUUGUGGAGGCUUCUGGGAACUUGGUGCUGAGGAGGACUCCUUGGGCCGCUGGAGGAGGGAGCCCACUGGCAAACUGGUGACAAGGGAUUAAUGAGGUCAAGAAGACUAGGCCUUCCAAAUGUGUCAGGUGGAGCUGGAAGUCAAUCUGCUGAAGAUGGGACUCUCUAAAGAAGAUUCAAGACAUAAACUGUAGGCUGCAUAGAUACCUGAGAAAAGCAUGGGACAAAGUCUUGUUUGCAUGGAAAAGGGGCCGCUUAUCUUCCUUCCCAGCUCUGGACGUCCGCUCAUGAGGAACCUGGCUACACGUAGAGAGACAUGCGCACUCGCAGCCGCCCUCCCAGCAGCGCUGCUCACCAGGGCUAACGCCCGCGAUUCCGCGCCUGAACUACCGGCAUAGACGGAUCACGGACAGUGAGGCCAGCAGCGUUUGAAACCAUCUACUUCACCUUUUCUCCUCAAGUCUCUCCUUAGUCUCCCCAGCUAAGUUGUUCUUCUUGAUAGAGAAAGGAGCUCAGUGGGGAAAGACAGAAGCCCCAGGAGAGAUAAAACACAGAGAUAUUCUUUGCCUUCACAGGGGCUGUCAAGUAGUUCUUAAGAGAUGCUUUACAAACACCCAUCAACAGAUCUUCCCUCAGCAGGAGGCGUGGGGACAACUUGAUCUGAUGAAUCCAGAUAUGGGGAAGAGAGGCAGUAAAAAUAUAAAUAUGUAUAUUAUAGAUUUUAAGAUAGAGAGGAUAUGUGAAAGGUUUCUAAGCAGUUGAGCUGGAAAGGAACAAAAGGAUUCAAGCAAGAAGAGUUUUGUGAACUA
ensembl:lncRNA